rnacentral:rRNA from 1 species
CGCGUAGGCGGCUGAUUUAGUCGAGGGUGAAAGCCCGUGGCUCAACCACGGAAUGGCCUUCGAUACUGGUUGGCUUGAGACCGGAAGAGGACAGCGGAACUGCGAGUGUAGAGGUGAAAUUCGUAGAUAUUCGCAAGAACACCAGUGGCGAAGGCGGCUGUCUGGUCCGGUUCUGACGCUGAGGCGCGAAAGCGUGGGGAGCAAACA